CGGGGUGCAGCAGGCGCGAAAACUUUACAAUGCUGGAAACAGCGAUAAGGGGACCUCGAGUGCCAGGUUACAAAUCUGGCUGUCGUGAUGCCUAAAAAGCAUUGCAUAGCAAGGGCCGGGCAAGACCGGUGCCAGCCGCCGCGGUAACACCGGCGGCUCGAGUGGUAACCGUUAUUAUUGGGUCUAAAGGGUCUGUAGCCGGCCGGAUAAGUCUCUUGGGAAAUCCAGCAGCUCAACUGUUGGGCUUUCAGGAGAUACUGUCUGGCUCGAGGCCGGGAGAGGUGAGAGGUACUUCAGGGGUAGGGGUGAAAUCUUGUAAUCCUUGAAGGACCACCAGUGGCGAAGGCGUCUCACCAGAACGGACCUGACGGCAAGGGACGAAAGCUAGGGGCACGAACCGGAUUGGAUACCCGGGUAGUCCUAGCCGUAAACGAUACUCGCUAGGUGUCGGCCACGGUGCGACCGUUGUCGGUGCCGUAGGGAAGCCGUGAAGCGAGCCACCUGGGAAGUACGGCCGCAAGGCUGAAACUUAAAGGAAUUGGCGGGGGAGCACAAGGGCGAAUCGC
rnacentral:rRNA from 1 species